AGUAACCUGGCCUUGGAGUGGGGAAUAACAGCUGGAAACAGCUGCUAAUACCGCAUAAUAUGUCUGUGUCGCAUGGCACUGGACAUCAAAGAUUUAUCGCUCUGAGAUGGACUCGCGUCUGAUUAGCUGGUUGGCGGGGUAACGGCCCACCAAGGCGACGAUCAGUAGCCGGACUGAGAGGUUGGCCGGCCACAUUGGGACUGAGACACGGCCCAGACUCCUACGGAAGGCAGCAG
rnacentral:rRNA from 1 species